rnacentral:miRNA from 1 species
CGCCGAAUAGUCUGCCACAAGG